GAAAAACUAAAGAGAUGGAUGGAGAAAGGUGUAGAACCCCCAGCUGAGGAAGCUGCAUUGCCUCCUCCUCCAACAGUAGGCACGUACCAAAACAACUCACUGGGGUAUGAAAACAGAUCUGACAUGAUGAACGAGAUGUCUCCACCUAGUGGGAGCUGGAGCAGUGGCAGCCCGACUCCAUCCGAGAAUUCUGCGGGAAUCCCACCAGUCUCACAGGGCUCGAAUCAAUUCUCAGCUCGUGGACGCCCAAGGUAAACAAACCACUUGUGACGCUUUCGAAUUAUUCUUAUGUGCAGGCUUUCCUGGAUCAUAAAUCAUGAGCGUAGUUGUAGUGUCUCAUUAGAAUGACAUUCAAGAGUGAAUAAAUAUAAGCCAACGACGGUAUUAAAGGUGAAGCUUUGAGUGUGAAAUGGACAAACUUUUCUUGAUUGUAGUUUCCGGUUGUGUUAGCUAUAAUACUCCAUAGUUGAGUCUGAUAAAUUGUCAGAAAAGCUGCUGUAGACACUGGGGAUCAUCACAUAUUGCCUUUGUUAGAUAACGUGCAUGAUUAGAGUUGAAUCGUUUUUACUUUCUUUUGGAGCAGAUACGUUGACCUCUUUAAUCCAGGCGGUGGAAACUCUAAGACAAUGUUUCAGUCAGCUCAUGCAAAAUCUGCUAAACCACCAAUCCCUGCAAAAGCAAAUUUCUUCAUCCCAGCAGCACCUGCGUCGUCUUCAAACGACCAGGUAACCGAGAUUGCAGCUACUGAAACCAGACAGGAGUACUCAGCAGAAAAAGAAGUAGCCGCCUCUGCAGGGGCUCCACCACCAAGCCACUCUUCAUUCCAGUCCCCGACUCCAUCUCCAAUGACAAUGCAGAGAUUUCCAAGUCUAGAUAACAUCAAACGAAGUGGAUCAGGAACGAGUCUUAACGGUGAUUUUCCUUCGUCAGGUUCCAGAAGAACAGCUUCAUGGAGUGGAAGUUUGAACAGCUCGUUUACAUCUCCAACGGGUCCAUCAAACCUCAAACCAAGCCCACUCAACGGUAGCAGCAGCAGCCUUGGAGAGGAGCUUCAAGACGUGGAACUGUAAGAGCUAGAAUCUGUAGUAUCAAAAAGUUUUGCUCACUGUCAGAGGUAGUCCAGUCAAAUGUUAAUCCAUGAGUUUACCCAAUACAUAAAAUACGAUAGGGGCAAUAUGUGUGAGUUUGUAUCCAUUGUUUUUUUUUUUACAUUACAAAUCAUUAAUUUUUCUUGUUUAACAGACUUCAGUUGUUGUACAAUUAUACACAUUAAUGUUCUGUUCAUGAGUAGGGGUUUAAUCAAAUGGUUCACCAUGUGAUUGUUUUUGCUAAGUCACUUCUUCAGUGUCAUCAAGUUGAUAAUAGAGACUUUUUAUAGGCUGAAGAGCAAAUCUGUUUCUAGAAUUGUGAAAGAGUAUUGAGCUCCAGUGCCGUGGUUUCUGUUUAAUUGUGAGUACUUGAUUCAUGCAGGCACAUAAUUUUCACCGUUACCAUGUGGGAUCAUUGCAUCUUUUAUCAAGUGCGAACCUUUUUUGAGUUUUAGUAAUCCAAAUAAAAUAUUGGAAAACAAGUAUUAGGAAUAAAAAACCCUGCAAAACGUGAAAUUUGUAGGGUUUAACAUAUUAAACCAAAUGUAUUGUGUAACCUGCGUCAGAUUGACAUUGUGUGUUUUUGCUUUUGUCUUUAUAUGAAUGCCAGUGUGGGGGAAUUAGUUCAUGUUCUGUAUAUAGGAGUGGCAGCAAUACUGUAGUAAUUUGUAUGAGUAGUGAGACUAUUUGCGGUUGUUUUUAAAGGUGGGCUCUGUAAACAAUGCGUUGGUGAUUAUUUACUUUUGUGAAGCUAUUUUAGAUGAGAUUGCAUUUCUAGGUUACUUCUUUGUCUUGAUUCACAAGACGUUAUCUUAAAGACUCUUUACCAUAGAAUCAAUAAGCGGAAAACAAUCCGCCUUUCUUUCUUCGUUUCUGUUUCUGCCCUAUUAGUUCUUUCUGUUUACAGAUGGGCCUUUCAGUCCCAAGAUGAUACAUUCAUGAACAGUAUUACUUAUCAAGGGAGGCAAGAGGUUGCUUUUUUUGUUCUUUUGUUUGGGACUCCAAACUCUUGUCUUUUAAAUUUGGUUUUCUCCUCUUACACGAUUGGGGUCUCUCCAGUUGCUAGCCAUGUUUGGUUUCAUAACUACUUUGACAUUGUGUUUACAAUAACCAAAGGCUCAAAACUUAUAAGAUACUGGAGUUGCGCACUGCAACAUUUUUCUCAUGAAUCCAGCUAGAGUCUACACUGUGUUUUACCCUUUUUAAAACAGACGAUCCCAUGAAGCAUCAUAUAUAUUAGUAUAAAGAUAAAUAAUAUAGAUAAAUAAUAUAAUCAAGUGGAGGUUUUCUUAGUCCAAUAGUUUGAGCAAAGAGUUCAUUAAUUGUUUUACACCAGAAGGUUUGGGGUGAAGUAUGCAAAAUAUUAGAAAGAAAGCUUACAAGAGAUUUUUGGCACGGAGGAAGUAGUACCAUCGGGAAUGGAUCUUAUAGGGCAGCUCAGGAUGAUGCAAUCAUAAGUGAAUACUAAUAAAGUAUGUCGGUUGUAGUAUCGUCUCUGUAUGUUUCUCGUAGUUUAUAAUAAUAUAAUUAACCAAUAUUAAAAAAAAUAGUAUUUUCCUAAAAUAUAAUUUUUUUAUUUUUGGGGCUAGAUUGAAAGUUGGGAAGGUAAAAGGAUUAAAAUAAACAUAAAGGUUAUUUGGAAAAUAGCAAAUAUAAGUGGAAUAAUAUAAAGUUCAUUAUUUGACUAUGAUACUAAAUAUUUUUGGUGGGUUCAUCGGAACCUUCAAGUGAAACAUGAAAAAAAUUAUUUUUAUGGUGUCAAGAAAAUUACUAUCAUCUUUACUUUUGUGGAGAAGAUUUCAUCACCAUGCAUUCUUUCCAUGAAAGAUAAUGCUUCUCAAAGCAUUAUUCGAUCUAUAGUUUCAAGUUAAACACCAGUUUAUCUUCUUACGUAGCAAUUUGUACGGAGCCAGAAGAGGCCACCAAGAUUAUUUCGGUUUUUCUGUAGGUUGUAGAUUAGAAGUUAGACUAAUUUUAAAUUAUUUAACUUUGUCGUGAAUGUGAAUAUCUUUUUGACGUAUUUAAACUUUAUUUUGAAUUUGAUGUGACCUGGUUUUUCACAGUAGUAACAUCCUCUCUCCUACUGAGUCUCUGAUCGUAGCACCUUCUGGAGAUUCUUAACUUUUUCAGCAACAAUCUUUGAGGUAGUACUUUCACUUGUUGUUCUUCCUUCGGAGUUGGAGCUUGGAAAAUUUUUGAUAAGUUUUGUAUCACUCUUUCCAUACCCGAGAUAUUUNNNNNNNNNNNNNNNNNNNNNNNNNNNNNNNNNNNNNNNNNNNNNNNNNNNNNNNNNNNNNNNNNNNNNNNNNNNNNNNNNNNNNNNNNNNNNNNNNNNNNNNNNNNNNNNNNNNNNNNNNNNNNNNNNNNNNNNNNNNNNNNNNNNNNNNNNNNNNNNNNNNNNNNNNNNNNNNNNNNNNNNNNNNNNNNNNNNNNNNNNNNNNNNNAUCAGCAUCAACAGCAGGAGGCUGCUAAGUUACCAUAUAGUCAAUCUGCUAAUACAAUGCAAUCAUUGAUGUCACAUGCCUCAAUGGAACCAAUACGUGAGUUGGAUGGGAACUCAAGGACGAUGGCAGUACAUUCUAGAAGUGUCUCAGAGCCAGAUUUCGGUAGGACGCCAAUACAGGUCAAUAUCACUGGAAAUCAUUUAUUUUUAUUUCCUUUUCUGUUAUUGCCUGAUGUCUGGUUUGGGAUUUAUCCUGAGGUAAGUAGGUACUUAGCAUGCAGGUUUAGAAAACCAUUGCUUACUUGCCUUUUUUCUGAUAGGAUCAGCCUGUCUCCUCAAAAGACAAAGCUACUGAUGGGGUGCCACAGGUGAAACCAACCGUGAAUGUGACAAGUUCGCGGUUUAGCAGCUUUGGUUUUGGCAUACUAAAGAACACCGUACGGAGGGUCUUACCAUCUCGGCCAUCUAAAGAGGUGCACCUUAAUAAAUGUUUUAAGUCGUGAUGAUGGUUUUCUUGAACUUAUUCUAAUGUUGGGUCAUGCUUUUGAAUUAAGGCAAAACUGGGUGAGGAGAAUCAGUUUUACUAUGACGAAAAACUAAAGAGAUGGAUGGAGAAAGGUGUAGAACCCCCAGCUGAGGAAGCUGCAUUGCCUCCUCCUCCAACAGUAGGCACGUACCAAAACAACUCACUGGGGUAUGAAAACAGAUCUGACAUGAUGAACGAGAUGUCUCCACCUAGUGGGAGCUGGAGCAGUGGCAGCCCGACUCCAUCCGAGAAUUCUUCGGGAAUCCCACCAAUCUCACAGGGCUCGAAUCAAUUCUCAGCUCGUGGACGCCCAAG
rnacentral:lncRNA from 1 species